GGAUAUGUAGCUUAAUGGUAAAGCGCCCACGCCGGACAACAGAAUACACUGUGGGCGCCCACGAUAGUUUUACCAGAUGCUCUUGUCGGAAUAGACAAGGGUUGGUAAAGUGGGAGACUGUACGUUCGAGUCGUACCACGUCUU